rnacentral:rRNA from 1 species
ACGGUGAGUAACACGUUGGAACCUGCCCCAAAGUGAGGAAUAAGCCACCGAAAGGUGGUCUAAUACUUCAUAAUAUCCAUCUCGUAUGGAUUAAAGCUUUAUGCGCUUUGGGAGGGCCUGCGUAACAUUAGCUUGUUGGUGAGGUAAAAGCUCACCAAGGCUUCGAUGUUUAACUGGUUUGAGAGGAUGACCAGUCACACUGGGACUGAGAUACGGCCCAGACUCCUACGGGAGGCAGCAGUAAGGAAUCUUCCACAAUGGGGCAACCCUGAUGGAGCAAUACCGCGUGCAGGAUGAAGCGUUUCGGCGUGUAAACUGCUUUAUCACCGGAGAUUAUGACUGUAGGUGAAGAAUAAGGACCGGCUACUACGUG